rnacentral:rRNA from 1 species
GUGUCAGCAGCCGCGGUAAAACGUAGGUGGCGAGCGUUAUCCGGAUUCAUUGGGCGUAAAGAGCUUGUAGGUGGCCACAUAAGUUGGACGUGAAAGUCCCGGGCUUAACUCGGGGAGGUCGUUCAAUACUGUGAGGCUAGAGGGCGUCAGAGGGGAGUGGAAUUCCUGGUGUAGCAGUGAAAUGCGUAGAUAUCAGGAGGAACACCCGUGGCGAAGGCGGCUCCCUGGGGCGCCCCUGACACUGAGAAGCGAAAGCUAGGGGAGCAAACGGGAUUAGAAACCCCAGUAGUCC